rnacentral:rRNA from 1 species
UACGAAGGGGGCUAGCGUUGUUCGGAAUCACUGGGCGUAAAGCGCACGUAGGCGGACUUUCAAGUCAGGGGUGAAAUCCCGGGGCUCAACCUCGGAAUUGCCUUUGAUACUGUAGGUCUCGAGUCCGGAAGAGGUGGGUGGAAUUCCUAGUGUAGAGGUGAAAUUCGUAGAUAUUAGGAAGAACACCGGUGGCGAAGGCGGCCCACUGGUCCGGUACUGACGCUGAGGUGCGAAAGCGUGGGGAGCAAACAGGAUUAGAAACCCGCGUAGUCC